UUGCCCUAGUAACGGCGAGUGAAGCGGCAACAGCUCAAAUUUGAAAUCUGGCCCCCGGGUCCGAGUUGUAAUUUGUAGAGGAUGCCUUUGGCGCGGUGCCUUCCGAGUUCCCUGGAACGGGACGCCUUAGAGGGUGAGAGCCCCGUACGGUUGGACACCAAGCCUCUGUAAGGCUCCUUCGACGAGUCGAGUAGUUUGGGAAUGCUGCUCUAAAUGGGAGGUAAAUUUCUUCUAAAGCUAAAUAUUGGCCAGAGACCGAUAGCGCACAAGUAGAGUGAUCGAAAGAUGAAAAGCACUUUGAAAAGAGGGUUAAAUAGCACGUGAAAUUGUUGAAAGGGAAGCGUUUGCGACCAGACCUCCUCCCGGCGGAUCAUCCGGUGAUCUUCACCGGUGCACUUCGCUGGGUCGAGGCCAGCAUCGGUUUCCGCAGGGGGAUAAAAGCUCAGGGAACGUAGCUCCUUCGGGAGUGUUAUAGCCCUCCGCACAAUACCCUUGCGGGGACCGAGGACCGCGCCCCCGGGCAAGGAUGCUGGCGUAAUGGUCGCCAACGACCCGU
rnacentral:rRNA from 1 species